rnacentral:rRNA from 1 species
AACCCUACGGGGCGCAGCAGUUAGGAAUAUUCGUCAAUGGGGGAAACCCUGAACGAGCAAUGCCGCGUGAACGAUGACGGUCCUCUGGAUUGUAAAGUUCUGCUGUUUGGGAAGAACGGCUCUAAUAGGAAAUGAUUAGAGAUUGACUGUACCAUUCAAGAAAGCCACGGCUAACUACGUGCCAGCAGCCGCGGUAAUACGUAGGUGGCGAGCGUUAUCCGGAUUUAUUGGGUGUAAAGGGAGCGUAGGUGGCAAGGCAAGUCAGAUGUGAAAACCCGGGGCCCAACCCCGGGAGUGCAUUUGAA